UGCUCUUAAAGGGGCCGCGGCCUGACGGGCUGAGCGCUCUCCGGUUCUCGGGUCUCGCCCGCUUCCUGGACUGCUGAGGCGCGCGCGGGUCCUCGGUUCUCUCCUAGAGUUUCCAUCGCCUAAUGCUCCUUAGUAGACUGACACAAACUGGGACUGGACUGUGAGCACCUGAGGGCUGUCCGGGGCUUGGAGGGGAGUGGCGCAAAGGACUUUUCUUACAAGCCGAGAUGUAUGUCUUCAAUUCCACGUCCCUGAAGAAACUCCGGAGAGAGGGAAGAAGGAAGGAGGAGAAAAAAAAAGCUUCCUGUCACAUUGUGUUUUCCUUGCUGGGCUACUGUUGCGUUCCAGUAGGAGUCUUGCUGAACACUUGGCCUGAGCAAUUUAAGAAGGAUUCCUCAGGGCUUUGAAAAAGCCACAAACGAUCCUCACAGUGACACCACCCAGCAAGCUGGCAGACAUUGCUGACACGCACCCGGCCCGAAGCAAUGGCACGUGUCCAUGCCUUGACAACUGACGCGCAGCCGUACACCUAGUGAGAGGGAGAACAACGUCUACAAAGCAACCCCCACCGCCACCAUAAGCCACUCCAGCAGAGGUGGGACUUUAGAUUAAAUACUACCCCGUGGACUGCUAAAUAACAUAACCGGAUUUGAUUCAAAAUGUAAAGUAUGCUGGAGAGCGGUACUUCUCUACUCUCUCCUCAAGGA